rnacentral:rRNA from 1 species
GUCCACGCCGUAAACGAUGAGAACUAGACGUCGGAGGGGUCUGCUCUUCGGUGUCGCAGCUAACGCGAUAAGUUCUCCGCCUGGGGAGUACGGCCGCAAGGUUGAAACUCAAAGGAAUUGACGGGGCCCGCACAAGCGGUGGAGCAUGUGGUUUAAUUCGAUGCAACGCGAAGAACCUUACCUGGUCUUGACAUCCUCGGAACCUCGCAGAGAUGUGGGGGUGGCCUUCGGGAACCGAGAGACAGGUGCUGCAUGGCUGUCGU